rnacentral:rRNA from 1 species
AGGACGAACGCUGGCGGCGUGCUUCAUACAUGCAAGUCGAACGAGAAGCUGACUUCGGUCAGUGGAAAGUGGCGGACGGGUGAGUAACACGUAGGAAAUCUGCCCUUUGGAGGGGGACAACAGUUGGAAACGACUGCUAAUACCCCAUAUGAGCUAAGCUGAAAUGCUUAUCUUGAAAACUCCGGUGCCAAAGGAUGAGCCUGCGCCUGAUUAGCUAGUUGGUGGUGUAAUGGACUACCAAGGCGACGAUCAGUAGCUGGUUUGAGAGGAUGAUCAGCCACAAUGGGACUGAGACACGGCCCAUACUCCUACGGGAGGCAGCAGUAGGGAAUUUUGCGCAAUGGGGGAAACCCUGAACCGCAGCAACGCCGCGUGAUUGAUGAAGCCCUUCGGGGUGUAAAGAUCUGUCAGUAGGGACGAAUUUUGACGGUACCUACAGAGGAAGCACCGGCUAACUCCGUGCCAGCAGCGGC